UACGUAGGGUGCAAGCGUUAAUCGGAAUUACUGGGCGUAAAGCGUACGCAGGCGGCUAUGUAAGACAGGUGUGAAAUCCCCGGGCUUAACCUGGGAACUGCAUUUGUGACUGCAUAGCUAGAGUCUGUCAGAGGGGGGUGGAAUUCCACGUGUAGCAGUGAAAUGCGUAGAUAUGUGGAGGAACACCAAUGGCGAAGGCAGCCCCCUGGGUCAACACUGACGCUCAUGCACGAAAGCGUGGGGAGCAAACAGG
rnacentral:rRNA from 1 species